GGGUCUUUAGCUCAGCAGUAGAGCGGCAGACUUCGGCUUCAUAUCGAAGGUCCUAACCACAGGCAUUCUGCAGGUCGCGGGUUCAAUCCCCGUAGGACUCU